rnacentral:rRNA from 1 species
AGGCCGCGGUAUAUUAACUGUGCAAAGGUAGCAUAAUCAUUAGUUUUUUAAUUGAAGGCUUGGAUGAAGGGUUGGACAAGGAAUAAACUGUCUUUAUUUUUAUUUUUGAAUUUAACUUUUAAGUGAAAAGGCUUAAAUAUGUUUAAGGGACGAUAAGACCCUAUAAAUCUUUACAUUAUGUUGUAUUGGGGUGAUAAGAAUAUCAGGAAUAACUGUUCUAAAAAAUUAAGUCAAAGUUGUUUGAGUAUAGUAGAUCCUUUUUAGAGAUUAAAAGUUUAAGUUACUUUAGGGAUAACAGCGUUAUUUUUCUUGAGAGUUCUUAUCGAAAGAAAAGUUUGCGACCUCGAUGUUGAAUUAAAAUUUCUUUAUAGUGCAGAAGUUAUAAAAGAAAGUCUGUUCGACUUUUAAAUUUUUACGUGAUCUGAG